GCGCCUUGCCAGCCCGCUCAGAACUUAAAGGAAGUUGACGGGGGCCCGCACAAGCGGUGGAGUAUGUGGUUUAAUUCGAUGCAACGCGAAGAACCUUACCUGGUCUUGACAUCCCGGAGACCCUUAGGAAACUAGGGGGUGCUUCCAUCUGGAAGAAUCUGGAGACAGGUGCUGCAUGGCUGUCGUCAGCUCGUGUCGUGAGAUGUUGGGUUAAGUCCCGCAACGAGCGCAACCCUUGCCUUUAGUUGCCAGCAGUUCGGCUGGGCACUCUAAAGGGACUGCCGGUGUUAAACCGGAGGAAGGUGGGGAUGACGUCAAGUCCUCAUGGCCUUUAUGACCAGGGCUACACACGUACUACAAUGGCCGAUACAAAGGGCAGCGACACUGCGAGGUGAAGCCAAUCCCGUAAAAUCGGUCUCAGUCCGGAUUGGAGUCUGCAACUCGACUCCAUGAAGUUGGAAUCGCUAGUAAUCGUGGAUCAGCAUGCCACGGUGAAUACGUUCCCGGGCCUU
rnacentral:rRNA from 1 species